rnacentral:rRNA from 1 species
UACGGAGGGAGCUAGCGUUGUUCGGAAUUACUGGGCGUAAAGCGCGCGUAGGCGGCUUUGUAAGUUAGAGGUGAAAAGCCCCGGAGCUCAACUCCGGAACUGCCUUUAAAAACUGCAUCGCUUGAAUCCAGGAGAGGUGAGUGGAAUUCCCGAGUGUAGAGGUGAAAUUCGUAGAUAUUCGGAAGAACACCAGUGGCGAAGGGCG